rnacentral:ncRNA from 1 species
UGACCUCAAAUCAGGUAGGAGUACCCGCUGAACUUAAGCAUAUCAAUAAGCGGAGGAAAAGAAACCAACCGGGAUUGCCUUAGUAACGGCGAGUGAAGCGGCAAAAGCUCAAAUUUGAAAUCUGGUACCUUCGGUGCCCGAGUUGUAAUUUGGAGAGGGCAACUUUGGGGCCGUUCCUUGUCUAUGUUCCUUGGAACAGGACGUCAUAGAGGGUGAGAAUCCCGUGUGGCGAGGAGUGCGGUUCUUUGUAAAGUG